GUGCAGCUCCCCAGUUCAGCUCACAGUGUAAGUUUUGUGGUCUCUCUGAUGGCCCCGGGUGUCGCGAGACUUAUACUGUGAGCUGAAUUGGGGAGCUGCAC